rnacentral:misc_RNA from 1 species
CACACACUUCCUGCCGGCGGUACCAAACCCAGGCCUAGGCACGAAACGAAUGGCCUUUGACAACGCCGGCGACGUCCCAGCCUUGGUCACCUGAUCUCCAGUUGUCCGCUUCUGCUCCAACUCUCGUCUCAGCUCCUCCACCGCCGGAGAACGAGAUAUUGGAGGGGAGGCCGAAGACAGUGGAGGAGUAUCUUGAGUGAAAGUUGAAGUCAGAACAUAGCCGCGGCCAAAUCGUCCACCUCUACCGCCCCCACCACCGCGCUGCAAUGACGGAGAUGGAGAUGAUGAUCGCUGGUCUCGGCCAGAAUCUUGCCGGCCACCGCGAGACAUUGUGUAAAACGGUCACAACAAGCAGAGAAACAGCAAAAGAAAAACCGAAGAAAGCAACCGAGAAUUCUGAGAGAGAAAAAUACGGCAAUCAGGGAGCAGAGAGUGUCCGAAUGGGCAUGAGAGAGAGAGGACGUACAGGGACAAGAGAAGACGGG